rnacentral:rRNA from 1 species
UACGGAGGGUGCGAGCGUUGUCCGGAAUCACUGGGCGUAAAGGGCGCGUAGGCGGCUCGAUAAGCGUGUGGUGAAAGCCUGGGGCUCAACCCCCGGGUCGGCCAUGCGAACUGUCGAGCUGGAGCACUGUAGAGGCAGGCGGAAUUCCGGGUGUAGCGGUGGAAUGCGUAGAGAUCCGGAAGAACACCGGUGGCGAAGGCGGCCUGCUGGGCAGUAGCUGACGCUGAGGCGCGACAGCGUGGGGAGCAAACAGG